CCUACGGGCGGCAGCAGUAGGGAAUCUUCCACAAUGGGCGAAAGCCUGAUGGAGCAACGCCGCGUGGGUGAAGAAGGUUUUCUGCUCGUAAAACUCUGUUGUUGGAGAAGAACGUGCGUGAGAGUAACUGUUCACGCUUUGACGGUAUCCAACCAGAAAGUCACGGCUAACUACGUGCCAGCAGCCGCGGUAAUACGUAGGUGGCAAGCGUUAUCCGGAUUUAUUGGGCGUAACGCGAGCGCAGGCGGUUGCUUAGGUCUGAUGUGAAAGCCUUCGGCUUAACCGGAGUAGUGCAUCGGAAACUGGGAGACUAGAGUGCAGGAGAGGGAAGUGGAACUCCUUGUGUAGCGGUGAAAUGCGUAGAUAUGAGGAGGAACACCAGUGGCGAAGGCGGCUCACUGGACUGUAACUGACGCUGAGGUUCGAAAGCGUGGGGAGCAAACAGGAUUAGAUACCCGUGUAGUC
rnacentral:rRNA from 1 species